UUUCUUAUAGAAUUUAUUAUAAGUAAGAUCUGCUCAAUGAAUUUAAAUAGCCGCAGAAUAUGUASUGUGCUAAGGUAGCAUAAUCAUUUGCCUUUUAAUUUAAGGCUAGUAUGAAAGAUCAMACAUUUAAAUUUUUCUAUACACUUUAACUUUCAAAUUUAAUUUAAAUGUAAAAAAACAUUUAUUAUAAAGAAAGACGACAAGACCCUAUUGAACUUCACUUUAGUUUAACUGGGGUAGUUAAUUAAUUAAAAUCUUAAUUUAUUUUAUUAUUAAAAAUAUGACCCAAUAAAAUUGAUUAAAUGAUCAAGUUACCAUAGGGAUAACAGCGUAAUAAAAUUUUAGAGUUCUUAUUAAAAAUUUAGAUUGCGACCUCGAUGUUGAAUUGAUAAAUCUAUUAAAUGCACCAUUAAAAAGAAGGUCUGUUCGACCUUUAAUAUAUCACA
rnacentral:rRNA from 1 species